rnacentral:rRNA from 1 species
UGGGGAAUAUUGCACAAUGGGCGCAAGCCUGAUGCAGCGACGCCGCGUGGGGGAUGACGGCCUUCGGGUUGUAAACCUCUUUCAGCAGGGACGAAGCGCAAGUGACGGUACCUGCAGAAGAAGCACCGGCCAACUACGUGCCAGCAGCCGCGGUAAUACGUAGGGUGCGAGCGUUGUCCGGAAUUACUGGGCGUAAAGAGCUCGUAGGUGGUUUGUCGCGUUGUUCGUGAAAACCGGGGGCUUAACCCUCGGCGUGCGGGCGAUACGGGCAGACUAGAGUACUGCAGGGGAGACUGGAAUUCCUGGUGUAGCGGUGGAAUGCGCAGAUAUCAGGAGGAACACCGGUGGCGAAGGCGGGUCUCUGGGCAGUAACUGACGCUGAGGAGCGAAAGCGUGGGGAGCGAACAGG